rnacentral:lncRNA from 8 species
UCAAGAUAAAGACCUUUUUACUUAUCGAUGGUCAAAUAGGCAGCUCCAUUUCAGAACAGGAGGCCUUUCACGUAUGUGAAUUUGUUAUUGUGGCCCAGGCUGUCCUAAAAUGUUAUACUGGUGGUGAGAUCUUUUGACCAACAGCAGAGAGUGCAUCCAAUUUGAUUUAUGUUUACAGUAUAAUUCAUAUCUGUAAGUAGUUUUCAUUUUGUUUCUUUUGAGUGAGAUUCUUUCUACUUUGGCAUUUGAUCCCAAUUCAGAGAACAAGAACCCAGCUCACUUUACCGGGGUCAAAUGUUUGACAAUCAUUCCAUUUACUCUUUUCCAUAGAAACAGAAAGUCUGCAUCAUGUAUAUUGAUGGUUAGAGUUAGUAUUUAUUAUGCCAUUCUGAAAUGAUGUAGAUAGUUAGAGCUGGUAAGUGGACAGAAGAUAUCAACCUGGUACUGUAGUUGGUUUAUAGAGAAUAACAGCCUCCUUGUAUUCUAUCCUUCAGAGCCACCACUGUUCUGGGCUACUUGCCACAGGAACUAUUGGGGACAUCGUGUUAUGAGUACUUCCACCAGGAUGACCUGCAACACCUCGCAGAGACACACAGGAAAGUUCUCCGCAGUAAAGAGAAGAUUGAGACCAGAAGCUACAAGUUCAAAACAAAACAUGGCUCCUUCGUCAUGCUUCAAAGUCAGUGGUUUAGUUUUAUAAACCCGUGGACCAAAGAAGUAGAGUUUAUUGUUUCUACCAACCGAGUUUUGUAAGUUCCUUUUCACAUUAGGUCUACAUUGUGGGUUGAACAAUCUAUAAUGAUAUUCGGUAAAAUACAUUUAAUUUAAUAAUCUGCUUCGAGUCAAGACAAGUUCAGUCAAAAUUGUCCCAUUUUGGACCCAAAAUGUAGCUGUUGUUCGAGAGUCCUCUGCGUUGUACUAAUGACAUCAUACAAGGGAUGUACAAUGAUUUGUUGUCUGUUCCCUCUCCACACAGGGGACCCGGUCACACAGAAGCUGAACAGCCAAGCAGCUCCAAGCUGUUGGAUGGUAAGAAAAGGAAUAUUCUGGAUAUAACUCAGUUUGGGUGUGUGGACCGACCUCAGCUCACUGUCCUGACCCCUCGCUGUGUUACAGAAGAGAGCAAACGUACUAUCCUUAUCCCUGGCAUCUCCAGUGGCAUGGCCACUAUGAUCUACGCUGGCAGCAUAGGGACCCAGAUAGCAAACGAGCUCUUUGACUCCAACAGAUGCAAAAUGAGGAGGUGACUGACUCAGAUACAGUGAGCAAGUCUGGAUCAGAGUCUGCUUCAAAGGGGGCCACAUACGCUGGCAGCAACACACAUAUGGACACAGGUAGUUACCAUUCAAAAUCCUAUACAAAGUAAUCUUAGAAGCAAUACAUUUACAUGAUCUUUCAUUUACCUAGACUGUUAUCAAUCAUAGUUUUAAGUGUAUAUUUGGGUUUCUUAGUGUAACGCGGGUCGUCUAAUGGGGACCAAGAUGCGGCGUGUGACGCGCUCAUAUUCACUUUUAUUAACUCAAAAUCAAACAAACAACAAAAACACCGUAAACAGUCCCGUCAGGUGCAACAUACACAAAACAGGAAACAACCACCCACAAAACACAGGAAAAAACACACCUACUAAAUAGGACCUUCAAUUAGAGGCAACGAGGAACAGCUGCCUCCAAUUGAAGGUCAACCCAAGAAACUUAAACAUAGAAAUAGACACACUAGAAUAAACAUAGAACAUAAACCAAAAACCCCGAAACACAUAAAACAAACACCCCCUGCCACGCCCUGACCAAACUACAAUAACAAAUAACCCCCUUUACUGGUCAGGACGUGACACUUAGUUAUUUAUUUUUUCACUUUUAUUUA